GCAAGCUUCUGAAUAAAUAUUCUACCAUUAUGCCCAUCUACAUCAAUCUUGUAGCGGUUAUGAAGUGUCUUCACACCUACUGAUGGAAUCAUUGUCAGCAUCUGUACAAGAAUUGCUGCUACAUCAGCCACAUCAUAGGAUCUCUCCCCAAUGUCAUCACAUAUAGCAAGCUUUAUGGCAGCUGAUUGAUCACUAAUCCGCAUUGGGAUUAUGCCUGGAGAGUCUAGCAACUCAAGUUCCUUCCCAAAUCGAACCCAUUUCAAUUCUCUUGUAACUCCAGGUCUAGGGGCUGCUUCACACAUUCGACGUUUUAGCAAACGGUUGAUCAAAGAUGAUUUCCCAACAUUUGGAUACCCAACUAUACCAGCUCGAACUGGACGAGGAAGAAGCCCUUUGGCUCUGCGUUUGACAUUUACAUUUGUAGCUAGCGCCUUUGCUAACCGGCUCAGCUUCAUAGUCCCCAUUCCAAGUUGCCCAUUGGAAAAGACAAACUUUAUUCCCUGCUUUGAAAAAUAAUUUGCCCAAGCAUUCCGGUCUGCCUUGGAGAUCAUAUCUUCUCUAUUCAAAACUAAAAUUCUUUUCCUAUUUC
rnacentral:misc_RNA from 1 species